CCUACGGGAGGCAGCAGUGAGGAAUAUUGGUCAAUGGGCGGAAGCCUGAACCAGCCAAGUAGCGUGCAGGAUGACGGCCCUACGGGUUGUAAACUGCUUUUAUACGGGAAUAACGCGCCUUACGUGUAGGGCUUGGCCUGUACCGCAUCAAUAAGGACCGGCUAAUUCCGUGCCAGCAGCCGCGGUAAUACGGAGGGUCCGGGCGUUAUCCGGAUUUAUUGGGCUUAAAGGGAGCAUAGGCCGCAAGUCAAGCGUGCUGUGAAAUGUGCGGGCUCAACCCGGGCCUUGCAGCGCGAACUGGCGUGGUUGAGUGCGCGGAAAGCAGGCGGAAUUCGUGGUGUAGCGGUGAAAUGCGUAGAUAUGACGAAGAACCCCGAUUGCGAAGGCAGCUUGCUGCAGCGGAACUGACGCUGAUGCUCGAAAGCGCGGGUAUCGAACAGGAUUAGAUACCCGGGUAGUC
rnacentral:rRNA from 1 species